rnacentral:tRNA from 1 species
GGCUCUGUAGUGAAGUUCAUAGUGAGUUGCAAGCUCAUUGAUGUGCAUUGAUUGUGUACCGGAGUCU